AUUGAACGCUGGCGGCAGGCCUAACACAUGCAAGUCGAGCGGAUGAAGGGAGCUUGCUCCUGGAUUCAGCGGCGGACGGGUGAGUAAUGCCUAGGAAUCUGCCUGGUAGUGGGGGAUAACGUCCGGAAACGGGCGCUAAUACCGCAUACGUCCUGAGGGAGAAAGUGGCGGAUCUUCGGACCUCACGCUAUCAGAUGAGCCUAGGUCGGAUUAGCUAGUUGGUGGGGUAAAGGCCUACCAAGGCGACGAUCCGUAACUGGUCUGAGAGGAUGAUCAGUCACACUGGAACUGAGACACGGUCCAGACUCCUACGGGAGGCAGCAGUGGGGAAUAUUGGACAAUGGGCGAAAGCCUGAUCCAGCCAUGCCGCGUGUGUGAAGAAGGUCUUCGGAUUGUAAAGCACUUUAAGUUGGGAGGAAGGGCAGUAAGUUAAUACCUUGCUGUUUUGACGUUACCAACAGAAUAAGCACCGGCUAACUUCGUG
rnacentral:rRNA from 1 species